GACGAACGCUGGCGGCGUGCUUAACACAUGCAAGUCGAACGGAAAGGCCCCAGCUUGCUGGGGUACUCGAGUGGCGAACGGGUGAGUAACACGUGGGUGAUCUGCCCUGCACUCUGGGAUAAGCCUGGGAAACUGGGUCUAAUACCGGAUAGGACCGUGCUUUAGUGUGUGCGGUGGAAAGUUUUUCGGUGCAGGAUGAGCCCGCGGCCUAUCAGCUUGUUGGUGGGGUAAUGGCCUACCAAGGCGGCGACGGGUAGCCGGCCUGAGAGGGUGUACGGCCACAUUGGGACUGAGACACGGCCCAGACUCCUACGGGAGGCAGCAGCGGGGAAUAUUGCACAAUGGGCGCAAGCCUGAUGCAGCGACGCCGCGUGGGGGAUGACGGCCUUCGGGUUGUAAACCCCUUUCGGCAGGGACGAAGCUUUUGUGACGGUACCUGCAGAAGAAGCACCGGCUAACUACGUG
rnacentral:rRNA from 1 species